rnacentral:rRNA from 1 species
GCGUUGUUCGGAAUUACUGGGCGUAAAGGGCGCGUAGGCGGCCUGUUAAGUCGAACGUGAAAUCCCUGGGCUCAACCCAGGAACUGCGUCCGAUACUGGCAGGCUUGAAUCCGGGAGAGGGAUGCGGAAUUCCAGGUGUAGCGGUGAAAUGCGUAGAUAUCUGGAGGAACACCGGUGGCGAAGGCGGCAUCCUGGACCGGCAUUGACGCUGAGGCGCGAAAGCCAGGGGAGCAAACGGG